ensembl:lncRNA
CAGCCAUAGUCUGUAAUGAUGAUCAUUUUUAUCAGAUUCAUUUUAUCAUUUUUAUCCUGCAUACGUAAAGAUUGUAACAUUCCACAUUCAAAAGACGUGUUCAAUUCAAAUCAUGCUUUACAGCUUACUUGCAUGCAACAAAAAUGGACAGUUAAACCACAUAUAUAUAGAACACUGUUUAAUAUCGAUGGGUUAAACCACCACAAUACUGCCGCUGAGCACACAUUUCUGUCUAAUCAGCUGGUGUAAUGAAGCAAUUUGCCUAAUGGUUGAGUAAAUUAAAUGUUUGGGUUUGGUCUCCAUGACAACCAGCUGUCCAUAAUUAGUUAAUCAAGACAGGCAGAGUUGAGGCUAGAGUGGCUGCAUGUCAAGAGGUCGUAAGGUGCUUGAAUCAUUUAGUCAUCAGGUAGUUUGGGUCCAUACCACUGAAACAAUGCAUCGAGCUCUGCCCAUAUAUCUAAGUUUUCUUAUGAUUGGCUCUGUCUUUGCUGGAGGUUCCUGGUGUGCCAACACAGCAAGAGCCCGAGCAGCUGCCCUGGGUUUGGUCCUCCCUAGGACCCAGUUUGUCCCUUACAGCCUUCGACCAACACGCCAUAGGAGUUUUGAUCCCAUAAAAACCCACUAUGAAAAUAAGGAUGGGCCCAAAGAGGCUCAGUUUGAGCCUAGCCUUCUGCGCAACAGUAAAAUCCAAGGGGAUGGCUAUCCAACUGACUGGGCCUAUGGACAAGUCUUCGCCAGAGGCUUUCAACCCAAACCGUAUUCACUAAACUAUCACGGUUCUGAUCCCAGUUUGGCUGACUCCUCUGUCAGCCAUUCUGUCUACACUCCCAAGGGAGAACUUGUUAGCAGCCACAAGCCCAACUUUGAGCAAGUCAAGAAUUCUGUGCCUCGAUCAAAUGUAAUGGUAGCCCCUGGUCAGUUUGAGUACUCAGACAAAGUGGACAUUCGCAAUUACUAUAAGCCUGUUGUAGUUCAGCCUGUUCCCAGCAGACGUAGAACAAUCCAGAGUGUGGUUCCACGACCCCAGAGCAGAGGUGCUGUACCCUAUGGAAAAAGUAUCCUAUGGUCCUGGCCACAGUAGAGACUUAUCCUCUCCACCAUCCCAGAGUGGACUCAUCAGCCUCCGAGCUAAAAAAAAAAAAAAUGUUCCCAGACCCUGUUGUCCAUUCAGUGAUCAAAGAGCCAAAAAUGAAGUGUCAGAAAAACAGAUCCUGUUGGUUAAUAAGCUCCUAAUGGACAAACUCUCCUUUGCAAACCACCUUUGGCUCCUCAGACAUGCAUACCAGUGGUGAGCAAAUCAGUGACCUUGUGCACUUUUAAGGGCAAAACAUGUAAGCUGUGUUUGAAGUCAUUACAUUUACUUAUCCAUGACAUCACUGUUCUGAAUCAGUAUUUGUUUAUGGCUCUUCCCCCACUGCCCAGUGUUGAUCCUUCAAAUAAAAUGUAUUUUUCAGAUUGUGUUUUUUAAAUUUAUUACUAGAUAAAUCAACUGAUAGACCAAGUAAAGAUUAACAAUGUGCUACAUUUAUAGAAUUUUGGUGUAAGACCAGUUAUCCAGUAGCGACUCACCAGAAAUGUAUUUUGAAAGAUACAAUUUGAACUGAAAUAAUGUCAUUUUGAUAAAUUGUUCAGUUUGCUUUUGAUCACCUCUUGUGAUUUAUGUCCCUGUAAACCAAUUUGAUAGAAACUCAGCGGUUGUCUCCAAAUAAAUGUGACAACUACACCAAAGAUUGUGGAUAAAUGAAGAGUGGUUCACCUAAGUUGUUUAAAUAUAUAUUCCUGUAAGUGGGUGUUCCUCCUCUCGUGUGAGCAUGCUUUCCUAUGAGCUUACGGUUUCUCCAUAUUAGAGCCCCACAAUUGAGGUGUCAAAACCUAGAGGUCAAACAAGGAAUGGUUCCAAUUGUUUUUCCAUCGUUCAUUUCUCCCAUUUUGGAUUUUAGAAUUACUUAAAAUAAGGGCUGUGUUUUGUGUAGGCUUACCCUGGUGUGACAUUUUGAUAACCAUGUAAAUCUCUCUCGGACAAGGUGACUUAUCAAUAUAUUUGACUAUUUACUCUGGUUCGAAAAUGCUAAUUAGCAUCAAAGUAGACAUGCAAAACUGCAAAUCCCUGCAAGCUUAUACACAUCUCUAGCUGGCAUCUUUGCUAACAGCUGUUGUGUCAAUUUAAAACUUGCACAAGAUAGUGAAUAGAAUUGUCCAUUUAAAGAAAUGUAGCCAAUUUAUUCAUUGCUACAUUUAGCUAACAUACAG